rnacentral:rRNA from 1 species
GACGAACGCUGGCGGCGCGCUUAACACAUGCAAGUCGAGCGAAGCGGCGGACGGGUGAGUAACACGUGAGUGACCUGCCUUAGACAUUGGGAUAGCCUCGGGAAACCGGGAUUAAUACCAAAUGAUCUAAGAUGGACUCGCGUCCAAUUAGCUAGUUGGUGAGGUAACGGCCCACCAAGGCGACGAGGGGUAGCCGGCCUGAGAGGGGGAGCGGCCACAUUGGAACUGGGAAACGUGCCAAACUCUACGGGAGGCAGCAGUGUGGAAUAUUGCACAAGGGAGGUACCUCUGAUGCAGCGACGCCGCGGGAACGAAGAAGGCUUUCGAGUCGUAAAGUUCUUUUAUAUGGGAAGCGGUACCAUAAGAAAAAGCCCCGGCUAAAUACGUGCCAGCAGCCGCGGUAAUAC